ACAAACUUGGUCAUUUAGAGGAAGUAAAAGUCGUAACAAGGUUUCCGUAGGGUAUGUUGAACCCCCCACCCCCCUCUUUUUCCUCGUUUCUUUAACUAACGUCUUCAUAGUGAACCUGCGGAAGGAUCAUUACAGAGUUAGGGUCUUCCAGGCCCGACCUCCCAACCCUAUGUUUAUUUGACUUGUUCGUUGCUUCGGCGGGCCCGUCCCCAACUGGGGACCGCCGGAGGACCUUGACCGGUCCUCUGGUCCGCGCCCGUCGGUGGCCUCGUUUAUAAACUCUUGCAUGAAUCGUGGCAUUGUCUGAGUAUAACUAUUGAAUAAAACAAAACUUUCAACAACGGAUCUCUUGGUUCUGGCAUCGAUGAAGAACGCAGC
rnacentral:misc_RNA from 1 species